CCUGCUUCCUCCCACGCGUGGGGUCCCCUCUGGUGGAGAAGGCUCGGGGAUCAGGGUGGACACCUCUGCCUGCUUCCUUGCGCUCCCUGGAGUUCUGGUGGAAUUCUGGUGGAAUUCUAUGGUGGAAUCCACAUUGUCCUCCGUUUGCCCCACGCUUCCUGAGCAGCCCCCUCCGUGAGCCAGAAGCUUCCAGGCAUGGAGCCCAAGAGUGGGAGACACUGACAUAGGCCUUGUCUGCAGGGCAGGCGGUGACACCUGCAAGGCUCCAGUGAGACAACGAGGUGUGCUGAUGCCAGGAGAAGAAAUGGUGAGAGCUGUGGGGAGCCUGACCCGGAGGACAGAGGACAGGACUCCGGCAGAGCUGAGAGAUGACGUGGCAGAGAGUGGAAUGGACUUGGUGGCACCAUGGGUGCUGACGGAGAGGGAGAAGGAAAAAGAGGGAGGGCGAGUUUCCAGGUGCUGGUUGGUGUCUUUUGCUUGGUCCAGCCCCUCUCGAGGUCCAAUUAUAUAUGGAGCUGGGGCAAUUGUCAACAGUUUGGUGUGUGUUAUUUCAUCCUGUUGGUGAGGCAUCCCUUGAAAAUAAACAGCACCCUCAGAGUUAAGACAGUAUAUCUCCAAUGUAGAAACUGUCUCUUCAAAGUAUUGCUGGGGGCAGUAGCAAAUAAAAAAUGGCAAUCCAGGGGCGCCUGGGUGGCGCAGUCGGUUAAGCGUCCGACUUCAGCCAGGUCACGAUCUCGCGGUCCGUAAGUUCGAGCCCCGCGUCGGGCUCUGGGCUGAUGGCUCAGAGCCUGGAGCCUGCUUCCGAUUCUGUGUCUCCCUCUCUCUCUGCCCCUCCCCGUUCAUGCUCUGUCUCUCUCUG